rnacentral:rRNA from 1 species
GGGUUGUGAGGUUAAGCGACUAAGCGUACACGGUGGAUGCCCUGGCAGUCAGAGGCGAUGAAGGGCGUGCUAAUCUGCGAUAAGCGCCGGUAAGGUGAUAUGAACCGUUAUAACCGGCGAUACCCGAAUGGGGAAACCCAGUGUGACUCGUCACACUAUCAUUAACUGAAUCCAUAGGUUAAUGAGGCGAACCGGGGGAACUGAAACAUCUAAGUACCCCGAGGAAAAGAAAUCAACCGAGAUUCCCCCAGUAGCGGCGAGCGAACGGGGAGGAGCCCAGAGCCUGAAUCAGCAUGUGUGUUAGUGGAAGCGUCUGGAAAGGCGCGCGAUACAGGGUGACAGCCCCGUACACAAAAGCGCAUGUGCUGUGAGCUCGAUGAGUAGGGCGGGACACGUGGUAUCCUGUCUGAAUAUGGGGGGACCAUCCUCCAAGGCUAAAUACUCCUGACUGACCGAUAGUGAACCAGUACCGUGAGGGAAAGGCGAAAAGAACCCCGGCGAGGGGAGUGAAAAAGAACCUGAAACCGUGUACGUACAAGCAGUGGGAGCCCCACCACUAAGCCAGUGGUGAACUCCACAUACGCAUCCUUUGCUGAGGAUACGGUUAACGGAGCGAAAGCGACGUUCAACCGCAAAAGAAGCAGAGGGGGCUUAGUGGUGGGGUGACUGCGUACCUUUUGUAUAAUGGGUCAGCGACUUAUAUUCUGUAGCAAGGUUAACCGAAUAGGGGAGCCGGAGGGAAACCGAGUCUUAAUUGGGCGUUAAGUUGCAGGGUAUAGACCCGAAACCCGGUGAUCUAGCCAUGGGCAGGUUGAAGGUUGGGUAACACUAACUGGAGGACCGAACCGACUAAUGUUGAAAAAUUAGCGGAUGACCUGUGGCUGGGGGUGAAAGGCCAAUCAAACCGGGAGAUAGCUGGUUCUCCCCGAAAGCUAUUUAGGUAGCGCCUCGUGAAUUCAUCUCCGGGGGUAGAGCACUGUUUCGGCUAGGGGGCCAUCCCGGCUUACCAACCCGAUGCAAACUGCGAAUACCGGAGAAUGUUAUCACGGGAGACACACGGCGGGUGCUAACGUCCGUCGUGAAGAGGGAAACAACCCAGACCGCCAGCUAAGGUCCCAAAGUCAUGGUUAAGUGGGAAACGAUGUGGGAAGGCCCAGACAGCCAGGAUGUUGGCUUAGAAGCAGCCAUCAUUUAAAGAAAGCGUAAUAGCUCACUGGUCGAGUCGGCCUGCGCGGAAGAUGUAACGGGGCUAAACCAUGCACCGAAGCUGCGGCAGCGACACUGUGUGUUGUUGGGUAGGGGAGCGUUCUGUAAGCCUGUGAAGGUGUGUCGUGAGGCAUGCUGGAGGUAUCAGAAGUGCGAAUGCUGACAUAAGUAACGAUAAAGCGGGUGAAAAGCCCGCUCGCCGGAAGACCAAGGGUUCCUGUCCAACGUUAAUCGGGGCAGGGUGAGUCGACCCCUAAGGCGAGGCCGAAAGGCGUAGUCGAUGGGAAACGGGUUAAUAUUCCCGUACUUGGUGUUACUGCGAAGGGGGGACGGAGAAGGCUAUGUUGGCCGGGCGACGGUUGUCCCGGUUUAAGCGUGUAGGUGUGUGUUCCAGGUAAAUCCGGUUCACUUUAACACUGAGGCGUGACGACGAGGCACUACGGUGCUGAAGCAACAAAUGCCCUGCUUCCAGGAAAAGCCUCUAAGCAUCAGGUAACAUCAAAUCGUACCCCAAACCGACACAGGUGGUCAGGUAGAGAAUACCAAGGCGCUUGAGAGAACUCGGGUGAAGGAACUAGGCAAAAUGGUGCCGUAACUUCGGGAGAAGGCACGCUGACACGUAGGUGAAGUGAUUUACUCAUGGAGCUGAAGUCAGUCGAAGAUACCAGCUGGCUGCAACUGUUUAUUAAAAACACAGCACUGUGCAAACACGAAAGUGGACGUAUACGGUGUGACGCCUGCCCGGUGCCGGAAGGUUAAUUGAUGGGGUCAGCGCAAGCGAAGCUCCUGAUCGAAGCCCCGGUAAACGGCGGCCGUAACUAUAACGGUCCUAAGGUAGCGAAAUUCCUUGUCGGGUAAGUUCCGACCUGCACGAAUGGCGUAAUGAUGGCCAGGCUGUCUCCACCCGAGACUCAGUGAAAUUGAACUCGCUGUGAAGAUGCAGUGUACCCGCGGCAAGACGGAAAGACCCCGUGAACCUUUACUAUAGCUUGACACUGAACAUUGAGCCUUGAUGUGUAGGAUAGGUGGGAGGCUUUGAAGUGUGGACGCCAGUCUGCAUGGAGCCGACCUUGAAAUACCACCCUUUAAUGUUUGAUGUUCUAACGUGGACCCGUGAUCCGGGUUGCGGACAGUGUCUGGUGGGUAGUUUGACUGGGGCGGUCUCCUCCUAAAGAGUAACGGAGGAGCACGAAGGUUGGCUAAUCCUGGUCGGACAUCAGGAGGUUAGUGCAAUGGCAUAAGCCAGCUUGACUGCGAGCGUGACGGCGCGAGCAGGUGCGAAAGCAGGUCAUAGUGAUCCGGUGGUUCUGAAUGGAAGGGCCAUCGCUCAACGGAUAAAAGGUACUCCGGGGAUAACAGGCUGAUACCGCCCAAGAGUUCAUAUCGACGGCGGUGUUUGGCACCUCGAUGUCGGCUCAUCACAUCCUGGGGCUGAAGUAGGUCCCAAGGGUAUGGCUGUUCGCCAUUUAAAGUGGUACGCGAGCUGGGUUUAGAACGUCGUGAGACAGUUCGGUCCCUAUCUGCCGUGGGCGCUGGAGAACUGAGGGGGGCUGCUCCUAGUACGAGAGGACCGGAGUGGACGCAUCACUGGUGUUCGGGUUGUCAUGCCAAUGGCACUGCCCGGUAGCUAAAUGCGGAAGAGAUAAGUGCUGAAAGCAUCUAAGCACGAAACUUGCCCCGAGAUGAGUUCUCCCUGAGACUUAGAGUCUCCUGAAGGAACGUUGAAGACGACGACGUUGAUAGGCCGGGUGUGUAAGCGCAGCGAUGCGUUGAGCUAACCGGUACUAAUGAACCGUGAGGCUUAACCUUACAACGCCGAAG